rnacentral:lncRNA from 1 species
UGAGACCUGAAGCCUCAGAACCAGCUCUCCUCCUCCUCUUCCUCCUCAAGAUGGACCUCAACUCACUGAACUCUGGUUCACUCUUUUGGUCCCAGAGCUAAUUCUUUGGUUGUUUAAGGUUUAGCAUAGGAGACCCCAAAGCAGCAAGGUUCUGGCCCUGGUUCUGCCACUUGCCAGCUCCACGCCCUCAGAUCAGUGGCUUCAGAGCCUCAACGUGCUCAGCUGUGAAACAGGGACAGGGUGAGGCCUUCCCAGGUAUGAUCCACUGUGCCCAUCCUGGAUGCAGACUUUAAGCAGAGUCACAUCAACAAGAAGAGCUGUGAAGGUCAGGGCAUGACCCACAGAUGCCCAAACACUGCACUGGAGGUCCAGGAAGAUUCUGCUGACAACGCAACCCUGAGCCAAGAUCUGAAGGAUAAGAGGGAGCUUAUAACAUGGAAGAAGGAACAGUAUUCCUGGCAAGUGGAACAGCAUGUGCAAAGGAGUGAGCAGCUGACAGGGGAGCCACGAACAGCCUGGAGAGCUGAGCAUGGGCCUGCUCCACACUCCAGCGGGGCCCGAGGCCCCCGGGAACUCUACCCCUCCUGGCAGCCUCACAGAACCUGCUGCAUCCAUCUCAAAAGGCAUACCUCCUCCAGGAAGCCUUCCCCGCUGCUCAGAGGUCUUAAAUCCGGGGUCUGCACUCACAAACUGUGCAGCCUACACCAGCUUCUGGGGGACAGCAGAACACUGUGGGGGGCCUGGCACAGUCCCUGGCACACGAGCCCACAAGACGUCACCCACCCUGCCCACGGCAAUUCAGAACUGGAAUGGGCCAAUGCCUCCAGCAGCUAUGAAGGGGACCCUCCUGCAGUGUCUCCUUGGCCUCAUGGACAAAGUGCUCUGCCCUGGGCAGGAAGUCCUGGGCUCCGUGACGGCUGUGUGCUGCUGGAGGCUGUGCUGGCUUUUCCUCCUCCACAGCCAAAGUGGCUGGGAGGCCUGACGACUGGGGUCAGAACCCACAGCAAGGACAGCAGAGUGGCAGGAUGCCAGUGGCCUCACCUGAUGACCACACUGUUGGGUUUUCGGGCCAGGCGGUCCACCUCUUCCAUGGAGAUCUGGUCGAUUUUGUUAUAAACCUGAGAUUGAGAAGGUGGAGGCCGGUGCUGAGGACAGGAGCAAGGCAUCCAGGAAAGGGCCCUCCAUCGCCCUGUGCCGGCUGCAGCCCUUCCUUGGAGAGCUGAGUCUACGCCCUUCCUCCCCUUGCUGCCUCAGGGUUGGGAAGGCUGGGCUGGAACCCUGGUUUCAAGCUCUCUAUGUCUGCAAGAUCCAAGCAGCCACUGAGGUGAGGUGAGGUGAGGGGAGAGCCUCAGACUCUUUCUGCUUCUCUCACAAGGUUCCGGGAGCUGAGGAAAUGCAUGUGGUAGAAAGGCCGAGUGGCCAGGCCAGGGCUCCCCUCCUGCACUUACAUACAGGCAGGGCAUGUACACCCGGUUGCCCACGAUCACAUCGAUGAACUCGUCCGGGGAGCAGUCUUCUCGGAAAAGCACUUCUGCAUUGAAGAUCUCUGAGGGGCUCCGAUUAAGGGCAACCUGUGCACCAGCUGCCCCUGUCCCCCAUCAGCGGAGGGCCCCAAAAAGCCAAGCAGGAAAUAUGCUGGCCGUGUGGGACCGUGGCGGUAUCUGCUUGUGAGGUUUUGCAAGAUUGUAAUGCUUUGGAAGCCCUCUGUUCUCUUCCCCAGAGGGACCACAAUAUAUAAAAGUUUC